GUUUGAACGUAGGCAUCUCCGCGAUCACCAGAGUAAAGUUUUCCUAUCUGAGAACACACCACCUAGCUUAUUCUAGUACGUUGGACAAAGGACGGAUAGGAAAUGUCGAAGACAAAAGAAAUGAGGACCUUUCAGGAUACCCAGCUAUAAUCUGAUGGUUCUGAAAGCAACACAGGAUGAGAUCUUCAGCCUGAACUUUUUGGAGGUUUGAAGUUACUCUCGAGCCAAUGUCAAGAUGCUACUUUUUAAAAGAGUAUGGAUUUAU
rnacentral:misc_RNA from 1 species